GUCUACGUCCAUACCACGAUGAAAAAACACCCGUUCUCGUCCGAUCACGGAAGUUAAGCAUCGUCGGGCCGGGAUAGUACUUGGAUGGGGGACCGCCUGGGAACUCCCGGUGUCGUAGGCU
rnacentral:rRNA from 1 species